GAUUGGUUUUGAAGUUUUAUACUAAAAUUGGAAGGACACAGAGAAGAUUAGCAUGGCUCCUGCACAGGGUGACACGCAAAUUCGUGAAGUUUAUGUAAAUGAA